rnacentral:rRNA from 1 species
CAGUGGGGAAUAUUGCACAAUGGGCGCAAGCCUGAUGCAGCCAUGCCGCGUGUAUGAAGAAGGCCUUCGGGUUGUAAAGUACUUUCAGCAGUGAGGAAGGUGGAUAUGUUAAUAGCAUAUUCAUUUGACGUUAGCUGCAGAAGAAGCACCGGCUAACUCCGUGCCAGCAGCCGCGGUAAUACGGAGGGUGCGAGCGUUAAUCGGAAUUACUGGGCGUAAAGCGCAUGCAGGUGGUUUGUUAAGUCAGAUGUGAAAGCCCCGGGGCUCAACCUCGGAACUUGCAUUUGAAACUGGCAAACUAGAGUACUGUAGAGGGGGUAGAAUUUCAGGUGUAGCGGUGAAAUGCGUAGAGAUCUGAAGGAAUACCGGUGGCGAAGGCGGCCCCCCUGGACAGAUACUGACACUCAGAUGCGAAAGCGUGGGGAGCCAAACAGGAUUAUAUACCCCUGGUAG